CCUACGGGAGGCUGCAGUGGGGAAUAUUGCACAAUGGGCGCAAGCCUGAUGCAGCCAUGCCGCGUGUGUGAAGAAGGCCUUCGGGUUGUAAAGCACUUUCAGCGGGGAGGAAGGCGUUAAGGUUAAUAACCUUGUCGAUUGACGUUACCCGCAGAAGAAGCACCGGCUAACUCCGUGCCAGCAGCCGCGGUAAUACGGAGGGUGUAAGCGUUAAUCGGAAUUACUGGGCGUAAAGCGCACGCAGGCGGUCUGUCAAGUCGGAUGUGAAAUCCCCGGGCUCAACCUGGGAACUGCAUUCGAAACUGGCAGGCUAGAGUCUUGUAGAGGGGGGUAGAAUUCCAGGUGUAGCGGUGAAAUGCGUAGAGAUCUGGAGGAAUACCGGUGGCGAAGGCGGCCCCCUGGACAAAGACUGACGCUCAGGUGCGAAAGCGUGGGGAGCAAACAGGAUUAAUACCCGGGUAGUC
rnacentral:rRNA from 1 species